UAUGAGAGUUUGAUCCUGGCUCAGGACGAACGCUGGCGGCGUGCCUAAUACAUGCAAGUCGAACGCUUCUUUCCUCCCGAGUGCUUGCACUCAAUUGGAAAGAGGAGUGGCGGACGGGUGAGUAACACGUGGGUAACCUACCCAUCAGAGGGGGAUAACACUUGGAAACAGGUGCUAAUACCGCAUAACAGUUUAUGCCGCAUGGCAUAAGAGUGAAAGGCGCUUUCGGGUGUCGCUGAUGGAUGGACCCGCGGUGCAUUAGCUAGUUGGUGAGGUAACGGCUCACCAAGGCCACGAUGCAUAGCCGACCUGAGAGGGUGAUCGGCCACACUGGGACUGAGACACGGCCCAGACUCCUACGGGAGGCAGCAGUAGGGAAUCUUCGGCAAUGGACGAAAGUCUGACCGAGCAACGCCGCGUGAGUGAAGAAGGUUUUCGGAUCGUAAAACUCUGUUGUUAGAGAAGAACAAGGACGUUAGUAACUGAACGUCCCCUGACGGUAUCUAACCAGAAAGCCACGGCUAACUACGUGCCAGCAGCCGCGGUAAUACGUAGGUGGCAAGCGUUGUCCGGAUUUAUUGGGCGUAAAGCGAGCGCAGGCGGUUUCUUAAGUCUGAUGUGAAAGCCCCCGGCUCAACCGGGGAGGGUCAUUGGAAACUGGGAGACUUGAGUGCAGAAGAGGAGAGUGGAAUUCCAUGUGUAGCGGUGAAAUGCGUAGAUAUAUGGAGGAACACCAGUGG
rnacentral:rRNA from 1 species